rnacentral:rRNA from 1 species
UACGUAGGGGGCAAGCGUUAUCCGGAAUUACUGGGUGUAAAGGGAGCGUAGACGGUAAUGUAAGUCUGGGGUGAAAGGCGGGGGCCCAACCCCCGGACUGCUCUGGAAACUAUGUUACUAGAGUGCAGGAGAGGUAAGCGGAAUUCCUAGUGUAGCGGUGAAAUGCGUAGAUAUUAGGAGGAACACCAGUGGCGGAGGCGGCUUACUGGACUGUAACUGACGUUGAGGCUCGAAAGCGUGGGGAGCAAACAGG